rnacentral:rRNA from 1 species
AGAACCUUACCUACUCUUGACAUCCAGAGAACUUUCCAGAGAUGGAUUGGUGCCUUCGGGAACUCUGAGACAGGUGCUGCAUGGCUGUCGUCAGCUCGUGUUGUGAAAUGUUGGGUUAAGUCCCGCAACGAGCGCAACCCUUAUCCUUGUUUGCCAGCGAGUAAUGUCGGGAACUCCAGGGAGACUGCCGGUGAUAAACCGGAGGAAGGUGGGGACGACGUCAAGUCAUCAUGGCCCUUACGAGUAGGGCUACACACGUGCUACAAUGGCGCAUACAGAGGGCAGCCAACUUGCGAGAGUGAGCGAAUCCCAAAAAGUGCGUCGUAGUCCGGAUUGGAGUCUGCAACUCGAGUGCGGGAAGUCGGAAUCGCUAGUAAUCG